rnacentral:rRNA from 1 species
ACUCGAGUGGCGAACGGGUGAGUAACACGUGGGUGAUCUGCCCUGCACUUCGGGAUAAGCCUGGGAAACUGGGUCUAAUACCGGAUAGGAGCCAUCUUUAGUGUGAUGGUUGGAAAGUUUUUUCGGUGUAGGAUGAGCUCGCGGCCUAUCAGCUUGUUGGUGGGGUAAUGGCCUACCAAGGCGGCGACGGGUAGCCGGCCUGAGAGGGUGGACGGCCACAUUGGGACUGAGAUACGGCCCAG